UACACAAUACCAAUAUGGUUGGGAUAUGAAUACAUAUAUCUAGUCUAACUACAUAUCUUAUUGGCAUAAGGCCAAGACACACAUAGAGAAUAUCCUAGAACACUCCCCCUUGUGCCGCGCGCUGAUAUGCCGAUGGUGCUGAUCUGUUGCCUCGUCAAAAACCUCGUCAAGUCACAAAAACCUGUGGAGAAAAACUGAACCUUGAUCGUAGGAGAAAAAGAGUACAANACACCUUCACAUUUGAUAGUGACAUGUAUGUAUGUGCUAGACUCCCCCUGAAGUUCGCACCUCCCCUUGAUCUUUACAUCAAUCAUAGGGCUCUUCCUGAUUCUUACUAAUCACGGAAGUUUCAACAACUUAGCAUGUCAAUGCUUUUUAACAUGUCUUCAAAUGUGGCAUUAGGCAAUGAUUAACUAAAUCAUGCCGUAUUGUCCUCAAAUGAUCUUUUACACUUAGAUCUUGAGGAGAAGGCCGCUUGUGAACUCAAAACAUAAGUUCGUGCAGGAAAUCAGAUUUCCGCGCAGCAUGACCUUCAAUUACUAGAACAGUCGUGACUUCCUCUAGGAAAUACAUAUGAACGAAACGCAAAUGGUUUUGGAAACUAGACUCAUUUAGCUUUCCAACCGUAUAUUACACACAUUCUGGUUCAUCAGGAGCUGUUCACAAAAUCCCGUCGAAGUUGACUGUUUUGCCAAAAUCAGAUUCUCGGACAGAUUCGUACUACUUUACGAAAACGGCCAUAAUUCACUCAAUAUGAUAGGUAUGAUCAAGUGGUUGGUGUCCCUGGAAAGUAGACACAUAGACCUUUCCAAUGGUACCAAUUUCAUCAUUUUUCAGUGAGUGAGAUUUCCUGUAGGUCCCGUGGAAGUUGACCUACGAAACUUGGCAGAUUCUGAUUUCACUUUUGAUGUGUCUUUCUUAUGUAGGGAUAGAAUAAGCCUCAACCUUUCAUACCAUUAAGUAUUGAAAAAGGAGUUACUGCCAUUACAUUGGCGUUGCGUGGGCGUAUAGCUACACUUAGCUUUACAACUUUUCAUAGCGAAUGAGAUGUCAAGUCUUUCGUAUUGUGUUGAGUACAUUGAUGCGUCUUAUUGUACUUAGAUGGGAACUCCAUCUCUUAACACAUAUUUGUCAUCUUGCUUUAGACAAAACAACGGAUCUCUCUUUAGAGCAAAGACCUUGACUAAUCAUGGGAGUAUAUGUAUGCCUCACUAGUUAUAGAGCGCCUAAGCCGAUUGAUGGAAAAUCAUCAUCAAUACAGUCAUCGAGUGCCUUAUCGAGACCAUGUCCUUCCCAAGAUCUUUUCUUCCGGAUGUUGAUACAUAUUGGCAUCUCUUGAUCCAUCAAGAGUCCAUGUAAAUCCGGAAUGAACACGCAAAGGCAUAAUUCACCAUAUCUCUUCCAAAUCAAGUAGAGUCCAUGUGCGUUUCAAUACAUUUAGCAAACGCAUGCUCCUGUGGUUUGGAGCCACUUGAUUCGGAUGAAUGAAGUCCGUUUAAGAUCUUCAUGUAUAUCUCUGAUCCCAUAGAGAUGUUAUUAUGACCACAUUCAUAGGCUGCAUGUUCAGUUAUUCGGAAACUACCAAACUGACAAAGUAGUGGAGUUCAAUGACAUCCAUUACGAGAGCAUAUCUCAUCGUAGUUGAUCCCAGUACGUGUUAGUGAAAGACCUUGCGCCAUAAGGUGAGUCUAAGCUCUUGUUCUCACUACGCUAUCUAACAAAGGCACAGUUGAUAGGGUUUAGCUUGCGGUGUCAGCAUCACCUGCCCAAGGACCUAUCUCUUUGUUAAUGCUGGAUCGCAUCUUUCCAUUAGGCCAAUCAACUAAGUUGAUAUCCAUCAACGAAGGGUGGUUCGAUAGUAGACUCAUUAUCUCACGUCCUCAUGUACACUAGUGUAAUACUUGUAGAGAUCUCUAUAUGGAUUGGAUUUGACAUUGACGGCGUCCCCCAACGAUAAUCACAAUUCAGACUUCAUGAGACGGAUUUGAGUAUCACUGAUCAAUGGAUCAGGUUGUGCCAAGCUCGCUUUCUUUCUAGUGCAAGACAAUAUCGAACCUAAGGGCCUCCCUCCUUUUAGGGAGCCACACGGCCUUGUGACACCAAUUUUGCCACUAUAUGGCGUCACCAUAUCACCAUCCAUGGUGAUGGCGUCAAGACCAACACUUUUUGGUCGCGCCAUGUCCUUUUGUAGGACAUCAAUCCUUGCAGACAUAUUUGCAGCAUGUGAUCUCGUCACUUUAACACUAUAAGCAUUUGGGAUCAAGAUGAGACUUAGUGGGGACAAACCACGACAAUUCACGUCGUUCCACUUGAACACUUGUGUUCUUAUCUCCCCCUAACGGCAGGAAUAUUGUCUCAUCAAAGUGACAAUCCGCAAUUUAGCGGUGAAUGAGAUUGCCUGACAAGGUUCCUACAUAUGCAGAUUAUAGGUGGAGGUUCAUAUCCAACCUAAACUUAUUCAUCUCAAAUGACCCAUCAUUGUACGCAGUGGCAAUGCGAUUUGGCACCUAGAAAUAACAUCUAGCCGAGCUCAAGGAUUGGAGAUCCGUUUCAAUACUGCCGAGCUCAAGGAUUGCAAUUCCGUGUCAAUCCUAGUACACAGUCACAAGCUGUAGUACAAUAAAAUUCAAUGAUGGUGGGUCGUAGAUGAAUACUAAAGCUGCAUGCAAAUAUUGCAUAGCCCUAAGACGCAAUAGAAAGAUUGGUGCGCAUCAAGAAUGUUCGAGCGACAAGCUAAAGUUGCUUGGUCGUAGCCUCGGUGAGACCGUAUUGCGUGUGAACAUGGGGUACAGGACACUUCAACUUACAUCCCGAUUAAACUUCUUUAAAGAAUUGGUAGUGAGCCCGUAGAAGUAUAAGCAGUAUAAGUAGUAGAUAAUAGUGUAACACGUGACCAGUGUGUUAACACAUCAACCAACACCAUAAAGCAUAAAAAGGUGUCCGCAAGUUGGUUGUAUCUAUCUACAUAGUUUAAUGUAAGAAUAGAAUGUUCACUUUUGUGUUAUUUAGCGUAGGAGGGUCUCACUCCUUAUUUAGCUAAAGAAUAGGCUUUCAAAACGAGCAAUGAGCAUUGCAGGGGGCCAAUGCGACAUCGAGGAAAGGCCGGUGCACCUCAAUUGCUUGAGGAAUUGACCAGACGACCUCUAAGAAGUUAGAGUCGUGUUCGAGUGACGUCAAUGUCCCCCGGGUCACCACCAUGCUUCAUGGUGAUGCUAGAUCUCAAAUGUCUUCGUUUUGAGCGGAAGAAUGGAUGUCCAUGAGAAUUUCUCAAAAUUUGGACCAUUAUAUCUCUUCCAGGUUGACCAAUUUGGUCAAACCAAAGCCUAUAUGAGUCGGUGUCCCAAAUAUCAUGUUUGGCGACAACAUGGGAUUCGAUAUUCGAAUCGUAGUGACAUACAGUUCACUAGAUUGACUCAUGAAUUUCUCCAAGAUGCGCUUCAGUUCGCAUUCAUGAGGAGGUAUACACAAAAG
rnacentral:lncRNA from 1 species